rnacentral:rRNA from 1 species
UGGAGAGUUUGAUCCUGGCUCAGAUUGAACGCUGGCGGCAGGCCUAACACAUGCAAGUCGAGCGCGAACGGUCCUUCGGGACUUAUUAGAGCGGCGGACGGGUGAGUAAUGCAUAGGAAUCUGCCCAGUAGUGGGGGAUAGCCCGGGGAAACCCGGAUUAAUACCGCAUACGUCCUACGGGAGAAAGCAGGGGAUCUUCGGACCUUGCGCUAUUGGAUGAGCCUAUGUCGGAUUAGCUUGUUGGUAAGGUAACGGCUUACCAAGGCGACGAUCCGUAGCUGGUCUGAGAGGAUGAUCAGCCACACUGGGACUGAGACACGGCCCAGACUCCUACGGGAGGCAGCAGUGGGGAAUAUUGGACAAUGGGGGCAACCCUGAUCCAGCCAUGCCGCGUGUGUGAAGAAGGCCUUCGGGUUGUAAAGCACUUUCAGUAGGGAGGAAGGCCUGUAAGUUAAUACCUUGCAGGAUUGACGUUACCUACAGAAGAAGCACCGGCUAACUCCGUGCCAGCAGCCGCGGUA